rnacentral:rRNA from 1 species
GACGAACGCUGGCGGCGUGCUUAACACAUGCAAGUCGAACGGAAAGGCCCUGCUUGCAGGGUACUCGAGUGGCGAACGGGUGAGUAACAAGUGGGUGAUUUGCCCUGCACUACGGGUUAAGCCAGGGAAACUGGGCGUAAUACCGGAUAGGUGACAUUUUUAGCGUGAUGGUUGGAAAGUUUGUUCGGUGUAGGAUGAGCCCGCUGCAUAUAUGCUUGCUGGUGGGGUAAUGGCCUACCAACGCGGCGACGGGUAGCCGGCCUGUGGGGGUGGCCGGCCACACUGGCUCCGAGGGGCGGCCCAGGUACCGACGGGAGGGAGCUGUGGGGAAUCUUGCCGGAUCGGCGCCGGGCGGGUGCAGCGGCUCCGCGUGGGGGAUGACGGCGUUCGGGUUGUAGACUCCUUGCGCAAGGGACGAAGCUUUUUGUGACGGUACCUAGACAGGAAGCACCGGCUAACUACGUG